rnacentral:rRNA from 1 species
UACGAAAGGGGCUAGCGUUGUUCGGAAUUACUGGGCGUAAAGCGCACGUAGGCGGCCUUGUAAGUUGGGGGUGAAAUCCCGGGGCUCAACUCCGGAACUGCCUUCAAGACUGCAAAGCUAGAGGACGCGAGAGGUUAGCGGAAGUCCGAGUGUAGCGGUGAAAUUCGUAGAUAUUCGGAAGAACACCAGUAGCGAAGGCGGCUAACUGGCGCGUUUCUGACGCUGAGGUGCGAAAUCGUGGGGAGCAAACAGG